AUGAGAACCUUGUGCUGGAACUGCCACGGGAUUGGCGACCCCGUGACAGUCCGUGAGCUCCGAGAGCUCAUUCAGGAGUGUGCGCCGUCGGUGGUUUGCAUUGUGGAAACGCAAUUGUCAAAACAGCGUGUGCAAGGUUUGACGUCUAUGUUGGGCUUUGAGGGUGGUUUUGCGGUAGCCAGGAGUGGAAGAAGCGGAAGGUUGGCUGUUUUUUGGAGACAUGGUUUGAAUUUCAGAGUUAAGAACUUCUCCCGGUAUCACAUUGAUGCAUGGGCGGCCGAACCGGGGAAGGAGGACUGGAGAUUGGCUUGCUACUAUGGUGAGGCAAAUCGAUCACUUAGGCAGAACACUUGGAACACCAUGACCGGCUUCGAGGUGAAUCCACUCUUCCAUGGUUGUGUAUGA
rnacentral:rRNA from 1 species